UUAGAUGCUUCUAUCAGUUUUACAGCUAAUAUUUAUUCUGCGAUUUGCUGCACGUCAUUAUCCUUCAGGACUAGUAAGACUGAACAGUAAACAGUUUAUCCUUGUCUUUUGUUGCUGUUUUAUAAAUUAACUUCACUGGGGGAAUUUCAGAAGAUGGAAAUAGGAUCCCAACCACAAGAUGUAACUCCACCCUAUCCCGGCCCUCCCAUACAUUACGGCAGUGCUGGGCCUCAGCCAGAGAUGUACGCUCAACCAGGCUUUUCCGCUCAACCAAGCUUUCCCACUCAACCAGCCUUCUCCACUCAACCUGGCUAUCCCACUCAACCAAGCUUUCCCGCUCAACCAGCCUUCUCCACUGUGAUGGAAAUUCUUGCACGUCACGAACAGGAUCUAACGUGCCAAAGGAGACCGCAGGAUGGGACACGGACGCCUG